rnacentral:rRNA from 1 species
GUCUACGGCCGUACUACCCUGAACAUGCCCGAUCUCGUCUGAUCUUGGAAGCUAAGCAGGGUCAGGUCUGGUUAGUAUUUGAAUGGGAGACCACCUGGGAAUACUGGGUGCUGUAGGCU